AACGUAUAGUUAAUAUAUAUUGCUAGUAUAUAAUUAUAUAUCUAUUUAAUUUUUAAAUGUAUGUUUUCAACUUUAUAACAUACAUACAUGGAUAUAUGUGUAUAUACAUAUAUAAGGUGCAUAUAUACUUUCCUAUAAGUUCGCAAAAGAUUUAUUGAAAUGAAUGUGUAUAUACCAUAAGUAGUAAAAAAUGUGGUGACGACAUACAAUACGAAAGAAUGAGUAAAUCGUGAAUAGUAAUUUCAUCGCACAUUUGUAAACUUUCACUUCACAUGUACUAUCAUCAUUCCGUCGUCAAACUAGCAGCAAAACAACAUUAAGGCAGAUUUGUGUUGGAUGAAAAAUUUGGUUGCAUUUAAAGCAAUUUGUGUAUAUAACAUUUAGAGACAAUAGUGUUUUAAAGAUAUUUUGUUUUCGUAGUAUACAUAUGUACAUAUGUAUUUAUUUGUUCUCUAACACAUGUUAAACAAUGAAUGAAAUAUUCUUAAUACAAAAAUUCAUUUGCCAAAAUACACCUUUAAAAACUUUUCGCUUACUUUGCGCAUGCACUGAACUAAGACGUCAUUCGGUGCAUUUUUGUUACUAGCAGCAGUAAAUGCACGUAACCGUGGACACAAAUAUGACGUAAUUCGCAAUAUAAACGUAAUUGAUUGAAUACCCUUCAUGGAUAGUAAACACAAAGUGUUUUGUUCUGUAUAUAAUUUAAGAGUACGCAGUUCUUAUAACUACUGACCAAGUCAAGUCCAAUUGGAACUAGGAUCAAACAUUUUUGAACAAAAUUCAUUUCACAAUUAUACCUAUAUAUAGGAUAUCUAUCUGUAUAGAUAUACAAUAUAUUAGGGUAUAUAGUAGCACAUGGAUUCCACAUUUACUAACGUAUACAUAUACAUAAGAUAGGUUCGCUUUAAAAUACGAACACGAUUUGUGACGUAUUUACGUUUCACACCUCUAAACCCUGCAUUUCAGGUUUAAAUGUAUUCGAUGAGCUGUACAAAGAGCUCAUCAAACUUCUUUAUUAGCAAUUGAGUGUGCAUCGAAGACGUCAUGAAUUUUUGCGACGCUUACAGUUAUACACAUAGAUAAAGUGCAGUGCAGUCGAUGCAACCAAUUAUUGAAAUAUUGUUCUGUUGAAUAAAAUAAUUGCGAUUAAAAAAAUGAUACUGCUAGGAGUUAUGCUGUCAACGCCUUUUCUCUGAGGAUUCGCCGGGAAGGGAAAGUCACAAUGAAAGCGUUUUUCAUAUUUUUCUUCAAACAUUUCAAAAAUUAUACGUGCACAUGCAAGUAAGUGUGCAGUCUGGAUCAAUGCGUAUCACACAUUACUUAUUUGGAAAAUAUAUGACCAACAAACAUUCUGAGUAUUGCAUGAUUUGAGAUUUCCUCAGUGCAUCAGUAAUUAUAUAUACAUACAUAUCUUCAUAUAUAAGCAAACCUACGUUAAAUGUCACAAAUUCAAAGCAUUUAUAAAUACUCCUCUUCAUUCCACAAGAGUAUCGAAAAACAGUGUCGUACAACCAGUCAAGAAUCAUUGCAAACGUGUGCAGUUUGUGGAGACAUAGCGGUUUGUCAGCACUAUGGUGUAAGAACUUGUGAGGGUUGUAAGGGAUUUUUUAAGAGAACUGUACAAAAAAAAUCAAAAUAUGUUUGUCUGUCAAAUCAGUCAUGUCCUGUGGACAGACGUCGACGUAAUAGAUGCCAGUUUUGUCGCUUCCAAAAAUGUUUGGUAGUUGGCAUGGUGAAAGAGGUAGUUCGAACAGAUUCACUAAAAGGACGUCGCGGAAGACUACCUUCAAAACAUAAAAAUAGUAACUAUUUUGGCAUACAUCACAAUUUACCGUUAAUAUCAAUACUAGUUAAGAAUCAUAAAGAUACAACACCCGAUAUUUCGAAUUUGGACAAUGCAACUUAUUCUGAACCUCAAUAUGCAAACUCACCACUGAUCGUAAGCGAGUCGGAAAAUGUUCGACAAUUUUAUCUAAUAUUGAGGAGCUCAGUAAGCAGAAUUGAGCAGUUUAUUUACAAAAUACCUGGCUUCUGUGAAUUGUGUGAAUCCGACCAAGAAUUGCUUUUUCAAUCAGCUUCAUUAGAAAUGUUUGUUUUGAGAUUAUCAUAUCGGAUCAAUUCCAACGACUCGAAUAUAACUUUUUGUAAUGGUAUGGUAAUGCAUAAAACACAAUGUGAAAGAGUUUUUGGAGAUUGGCUCCUUAACAUUUUGGAAUUUAGUAAACAAUUAAAAAAUUUAGAAAUGGACAUUACAUCUUUCGUCUGCCUAUGUGCACUCGCUGUUAUGACAGGUGAUGAUGAUGAGCAGGAGGAGAUCGAGGAGAAGUUUAGAAUAAAUAUGCUUAUAUUAUUGCACAAUCGUCGAUGUGUGCACUUAGGAGACACGAAGUCCAACCAGUGGGAACUAAAUGUCAUUUUGACGAUAAUUUUGUCAAAUGAUGAGAGUAUCCCAAAAAGAAUUUGAUUAACUUUUAAAUUUACUGAAAGAUGAUAAUGCGCAAUCCUAAUAAUGCAUUUGCUUAUCCUGGAAGCGAAACUUUUUCGACAGUUGGAUAGCUGGAGAUAGUGCACAUCCAUUAAAGGAUUUUUUAGUAACACCAUUUAGGCAAAAUAGUAUAGAAUAUACCAGAGAAGAAAAGGACAAGUUCAAUAAAUAUUUUCCUAAUACAGUGGUGCUCCAGUAUAACGAAAACCGACGAAUGUUCAAUAUAUCGAACACUAUUUUUCAAUACAUUGAUGACUCUAUAUAACGAAAGCUGGAAAUGGGAUGAACUGUAUUUACGAAUGUAUGGCGUUUGUAUUUGGUUUUGAAUACAAAAAACAAUGCAGGAAGUUAAACACCCGUCGGUUCUUGUUAUUAUUGAGCUAUUUUUUUUAAGAAUUCUAUUUAUUUUUUUAUGGUUCAGGUUUGUACACUACAACAAUUUUCACUUCCAUACUCCUAAAUAAUACUUUUAAUUACAGAUUGAAGAUUCUCUUGAAAGUCGAAGUCUACCAAUAUUACUCCUGGAUAACGCUCCUAGUCAUCCACCAGAAGAAGAUUUGGUGACUCCAGAUGGAAAAAUUUGAACAGUGUUUAUGCCACCGAAUGUAACGGCUCUAAUUCAACCGAUGGACCAGAACGCGAUUCGCCUCACCAAAUUAUUUUACCGAAAUUCUUUACUGAGCAGUGUAGUGCAAAAAAAAUUUAAAUACAGCGUUAAAGGACCUCACCCUUUUCAAUGCAAUUCAACUUAUUGCUGCAGCUUGGGAAAAAGUUUCAGGGGUUGUUCUUCAGAAGUGUUGGAAAAACAUUUUAAUUAAUAAAACCACACCUGACGAUGAAGAUGAUGAGGAAAAUAUAACUCUUUUAUUAAUCUUAUUGUAUGCAUUUUCCAUUGUAUAUGUAUUUAUUUCAACCAAUGCUUAUGAAUUCAUGAAUAAAUACUUAUUUUUAAACAUAUAUGUACCAAUAUUAAUUUAGUUUUCGUUUCCGAUAUAACGAAUAUUUCAGUUUAACGAACGGUCCCAACAUUAUAUCAUUCGUUAUAUUGGAGUACCACUGUAUUGUGAAAGAAAAAUUAUCUAGCUUAAAAGAGCUAAAGUUUAGAUUCCAUACUACGGAAAACAAAAAAUAGUGUAAUGAAUGGAUGAUGGUUUGUUGUAUUUUGCACAACAUUUUUAUAAUUUCAUACAACGAAGUUCAUGAAAGUAACAUUGAACCCUGUACCAAUUUAUUACCUUCAACAAACCUUAGACGUAGUCUGCUAAACUUCAUUCAGAAUCACCCAAGCAUUUAAUGUCUUAAGAAUACUUACAUGCAGAGAACUAGAGCACAGUUUUCAUAAAUAUUUAACGGUUUUUUGCAUAAUGUUCAUGGUUACUAAACUCUCCUAUUUUUGUAUUCACUUUCUUUCAAUAAAUAUAAUUUGUUAAUAACUAUUUCAUUUAGAAUAUACUUAAUUAUUUAUUUAUAACAACUUAAAACACAAACCUGAAUAAAAAUAUAUUUUAGAUUUCUCCAAUACCGAUUAAAAAUUUAUAAAAACUCUCUUUAAAACUUUAGUAGCGCUUAUAUUAGCCAUAGCUAAUCUCUCCUUCAUUUAAAGUUCAAGAAUUUUAUACUUUUCCUGUCUGUUGAACAUUUUUCUUUAAGCUGAAAUUCUUUUUCUUUUAAAUCUAAAUCCCAUUCCCUUAAACUCAGCUCUCAAUCCUUGACGGCACAAUCUGCCUCCAACUUUUGUUUGAUUUUUCAUGAUAUCCGAGACGCGUAUUCGACUUUAUAUAUGCAAAACAUAUAUUACCUGGAUUGGCAUUAAAUGUCGGACUUCUUCUCAAAUUCAGGCAUUACUGCUGUUGGAGUUUCUAUAUCUCCCUCAACAUCAAUAGCGUUUUCCGCCAUUGUAUCUACUAUUAUGGAGCAAUCACUUACCCACCUUCCAAAAAUGGCAUUCAAAUUAUAAUAUUGGUUGUACAUUUUUAAUAAGGAUUAUUAGUUACAUUUAUCUACACUACUAUUAUAAAGAGGAAAGAUUUAUAUUGAAUAUAUUCGAAAACUACUGUGCCGAUUUCAAGACCACGGAUAUCGAAGACUAUAGAUUGUAAUUAAGUUUUUGCUCAUUACAAAAAAUUUCAGGUUCGAAGUUUCCUCAUUUUACUUUUUUAUAAUGAACCCACGCAAGAAACGGUAAAGUACAUACAUAUGUAUGGGAGAGUGUGUAUAAGUGUGUUAAAACUUAUAACUUUUGAAAUGUUUGUUUAAGCCCGUUCGACGACGGAGUGGUCUGCUAGUAAUUUAUAUUUAAACGAAAAACAAACCUCGAGUAGGGAAUUUUCAGAAAGAAAAUCUAUGAUCUAUAAUUGUAAACGUAAUAAACUUGUCUUUUUAUUUGGGAUACUCACAACGUGUCAUAAAGUUAUAAGUCAUAAACAAAAAUUAAGACAAAAUACAAUGGUUGUGAACACGUCGUUAUAAAUUUGUUGUCGUAAAUCACUUAUCAAUCAGCUGAUUGAAAAAACAUAAAGUAAGUAUUUCGCAAAAAUAAGUACUUCGUAUUCGAAAUGCCAAGGAGAGGUGAAAAUUUUAAAAUAAUGGAUGCGCUGUGCAAGAAUCAGGCAUUAAACCUGAUGAUACUUGACUCAAGCGACGACGAAGAUGCGGACAAUAUUGAAAUUAAAAGAGAAGUUUCUGUUUUGGCCAAAUGAAAAUGAACGGUUGGAAAAUGUUACUGCAACGCGGAAAGAGAUGCCAGGUUGUAUAGGAUAUAUUGAUGGAUGAGAAUUAAAGUUGGCUGAAGCGCCAGCCAAAAAACAUGAACUUUUUUAUUCACGAAAACGCCUCAAAACAUCCUCAACGAUUUUUAUCUGACUCUCAGUGGAUUGCUGGAGAUUGCGCCUAUCCACUCAAGGAAUUUUUAUUGACACCGUUCAGGCAAAAUAGUACGGACUACACUUCGGAAUAAAGAGAAAGUUUCAAUAAGUACUUUUCAAAAUAUCGUGUGCGAAUUGAGAAUUGUUUUGUCAUUUUAAAAGAAAAAUUCGGCAGCUUGAAGGAAUUGAAGUUUAGAAUGAUAAAUGAGCAAAAUAAAAAAGAAUGCAAUGAGUGGAUCGUGGUAUGCUGCAUUCUCCAUAACAUGCUAAUCAAUUACCAAACUGAAAACGAAGAAAGCGUUGAAAUUAACCCACCUCAAUAUAGCAUACCACCAGGAAGUAACACAAGAUCUAGCCUUCUUGACUUCAUUCAAAAUCAUAGAUUAACUUAAAAUACAUCAUUAUUUAAACGUAUAUUUACUAUUCAUUAGUAUAAGUAUUCAUAAAUAAAAAUUUGUUUUUUUUUAUUUAAAAAUUAACAUAAAAAGUAAUUAUUAAAAAUAAAAUUCAGGUACAUUAAUUCAUUUCAGGUAAUUUAAAAUUCUCUUGCACCACUUCUUCCAAUUCUUCCACUUAUUUGUAUUUGUAUUUCAAUUCUUCCAUUGCCAAUCUUUCUUUCAUUUGUAUUUCCAUUAUUUUUAGCUUUUCAUUACUUUCCAAUUCUUUUACUUUCAUCUCCAUUUCUUUGUCUUUUAGUAAUAAUUCUUGCUUUUCCCUUAACUCCACUUCUUUUUCUUUAAUCCUCAAUUCCCUUUUUCUCUUAAUUCCAACUCUUUCUCCUUAAAACUCAUUUCUUGCUCCAUUUUCUGCUUUUUCAGC